rnacentral:rRNA from 1 species
UAGAGGAAGUAAAAGUCGUAACAAGGUUUCCGUAGGUGAACCUGCGGAAGGAUCAUUAAAGAGACGUUGCCCUUCGGGGUCGACCUCCCACCCUAUGUUUAUCAUACCUCUGUUGCUUUGGCAGGCCCGUCCUCGGACCGCCGGCUCCGGCCGGCCCGUGCCUGCCAGGGAACCUAAAACUCUGUUUGUUAAUGCAGUCUGAGUACUAUAUAAUAGUUAAAACUUUCAACAACGGAUCUCUUGGUUCUGGCAUCGAUGAAGAACGCAGCGAAAUGCGAUAAGUAAUGUGAAUUGCAGAAUUCAGUGAAUCAUCGAAUCUUUGAACGCACAUUGCGCCCCCUGGUAUUCCGGGGGGCAUGCCUGUUCGAGCGUCAUUACAACCCUCAAGCUCUGCUUGGUAUUGGGCCCCGCCGGUUCCGGCGGGCCCUAAAGUCAGUGGCGGUGCCAUCCGGCUCCGAGCGUAGUAAUUCUUCUCGCUCUGGAGACCCGGCUGUGUGCUUGCCAGCAACCCCCAAUUUUUUAAGGUUGACCUCGGAUCAGGUAGGGAUACCCGCUGAACUUAAGCAUAUCAAU